rnacentral:rRNA from 1 species
GAGAGGAUGAUCACUACUCCGGAACUGACACACGGUCAAUUUUCCACAAUGGAGCUCAAGCCUGAUCAAUAUUGGACAAUGUGCGAAAGCCUGAUCCAGCCAUGCCGCGCUCUUUCACAAGGGAAAAUAAUUGCAAUAACCUUUAAAUUGGCCCCGGGGUUGUUCGAUGACAACCCUGCCAUUUUGACGUUUCCGACUGAAUUUGUCCCGAAUUAACUGUGUGUAAUCAGCCGCGGGCGGACAUUGGUGCAGCGUUAAUCGGAAUUACUGGGCGUAAAGAACUGCCUUUGAUACUGGUUGUCUGGAUGUGAAAUCCCCGGAGCUCAACCUGGGAACUGCAUUCGAACUGACUGACUAUUCGUAGGAACACAGUGGCGAAAUUUCCUGUGUGGUCCGGAAUGCACGCUGAUGUGAAAGAACACGAGUGGCGACAGCGAUCACCUGCACUGAAUACUCCACGCCGAGGAGCAAGAGUGUGAGGCGUCAAGCAGAUUUACUGUCCGUGGUAGCCCCGACGCAAACGAUGUCCCCUCUGCGUAGUACGCCUUGAGCUUUUAAAGUCGCAGCUAUCGAAUUAGGCCGACAGCCUGGGGAGUACGUGCGCAUGAUUCAACUCAACGGAUUGACCUUACCCCCCACAGACGUCCGGAGCUGGGGAUUUGAUUCAAGCUUCGUUAAUUCCUUUCCAGGCA